rnacentral:rRNA from 1 species
GUGGAUUAGAUACCCUGGUAGUCCACGCCCUAAACGAUGUCGACUAGUUGUCGGGGAUUUACAUCUUCGGUAACGCAGCUAACGCGUGAAGUCGACCGCCUGGGGAGUACGGUCGCAAGAUUAAAACUCAAAGGAAUUGACGGGGACCCGCACAAGCGGUGGAUGAUGUGGAUUAAUUCGAUGCAACGCGAAAAACCUUACCUACCCUUGACAUGCCCGGAAUCUCGCAGAGAUGUGAGAGUGCCCGAAAGGGAGCCGGGACACAGGUGCUGCACGGUUGUCGACAACU